UGUUGUUGAGGAAGAUAAUGACGGUACUCAACAAGGAAGUGACGGCUAACUACGUGCCAGCAGCCGCGGUAAAACGUAGGUCACAAGCGUUGUCCGGAAUUACUGGGUGUAAAGGGAGCGCAGGCGGGARAACAAGUUGGAAGUGAAAUCCAUGGGCUCAACCCAUGAACUGCUUUCAAAACUGUUUUUCUUGAGUAGUGCAGAGGUAGGCGGAAUUCCCGGUGUAGCGGUGGAAUGCGUAGAUAUCGGGAGGAACACCAGUGGCGAAGGCGGCCUACUGGGCACCAACUGACGCUGAGGCUCGAAAGUGUGGGUAGCAAACAGGAUUAGAUACCCUGGUAGUCCACACCGUAAACGAUGAUUACUAGGUGUUGGAGGAUUGACCCCUUCAGUGCCGCAGUUAACACAAUAAGUAAUCCACCUGGGGAGUACGACCGCAAGGUUGAAACUCAAAGGAAUUGACGGGGGCCCGCACAAGCAGUGGAGUAUGUGGUUUAAUUCGACGCAACGCGAAGAACCUUACCAAGUCUUGACAUCCCUUGACGAUGCUGGAAACAGUAUUUCUCUUCGGAGCAAGGAGACAGGUGGUGCAUGGUUGUCGUCAGCUCGUGUCGUGAGAUGUUGGGUUAAGUCCCGCAACGAGCGCAACCCUUAUGGUCAGUUACUACGCAAGAGGACUCUGGCCAGACUGCCGUUGACAAAA
rnacentral:rRNA from 1 species